rnacentral:rRNA from 1 species
CCUACGGGAGGCAGCAGUGGGGAAUUUUCCGCAAUGGGCGAAAGCCUGACGGAGCAACGCCGCGUGAGGGAUGAAGGCCUCUGGGCUGUAAACCUCUUUUCUCAAGGAAGAAGAUCUGACGGUACUUGAGGAAUAAGCCACGGCUAAUUCCGUGCCAGCAGCCGCGGUAAUACGGGAGUGGCAAGCGUUAUCCGGAAUUAUUGGGCGUAAAGCGUCCGCAGGCGGCCUUUUAAGUCUGUCGUUAAAGCGUGGAGCUUAACUCCAUUUAAGCGAUGGAAACUGGAAGGCUAGAGUGUGGUAGGGGCAGAGGGAAUUCCCGGUGUAGCGGUGAAAUGCGUAGAUAUCGGGAAGAACACCAGUGGCGAAGGCGCUCUGCUGGGCCAUAACUGACGCUCAUGGACGAAAGCCAGGGGAGCGAAAGGGAUUAGAUACCCCUGUAGUCCUGGCCGUAAACGAUGAACACUAGGUGUCGGGGGAAUCGACCCCCUCGGUGUCGUAGCCAACGCGUUAAGUGUUCCGCCUGGGGAGUACGCACGCAAGUGUGAAACUCAAAGGAAUUGACGG